UACGAACUGUGCGAACGUUAUUCGGAAUCACUGGGCUUACAGGGUGUGUAGGCGGUUUGUUAAGCAGGGUGUGAAAUCCUCCGGCUCAACCGGGGAACUGCGCUCUGGACUGGCAGACUUGAGUGCGCUAGGGGUGUGUGGAACUUCCAGUGGAGCGGUGAAAUGUGUUGAUAUUGGAAGGAACACCGGUGGCGAAAGCGACACACUGGGGCGUAACUGACGCUGAGACACGAAAGCCAGGGGAGCGAAC
rnacentral:rRNA from 1 species